CACUAGAAAGCUCAGAUGGUAGAGCACCUGACUCGAGAUUCAGGGGGCCCGGGUUUGAAUCCCAGUCUGAUUC
rnacentral:tRNA from 1 species